ACUUGAUGGUGAGGGCAUUUACGUAAAAGAUCCCUAAAAUGUUCCUAUGUCUCGAAAAUUGUUCCCCAUAUAUCUGUGAGAAAUUGGUGAUUGUCUUUGUCAGCU